CUGUGCUGUGGGAUGAGGUAGUAGGUUGUAUAGUUUUAGGGUCAUACCCGCAACUGGGAGAUAACUAUACAAUCUACUGUCUUUCCUAAAG
rnacentral:pre_miRNA from 1 species